AGGUAGAAGGUACGAGACUAGGCGGCAGGCUGUACACCUGCCUACAGAGGUACCAUCUUCUAU
rnacentral:tRNA from 1 species